GACGAACGCUGGCGGCGUGCUUAACACAUGCAAGUCGAGCGGUAAGGCCCUUUCGGGGGUACACGAGCGGCGAACGGGUGAGUAACACGUGGGUGACCUGCCCUCAGCUCUGGGAUAAGCCUGGGAAACUGGGUCUAAUACCGGAUAUGACCUUCCUCCGCAUGGGGGUUGGUGGAAAGUCCUGGGUUUAAUUAUCUGGGUUCGGCUGGGGAUGGGCCCGCGGCCUAUCAGCUUGUUGGUGGGGNGAUGGCCUACCAAGGCGACGACGGGUAGCCGGCCUGAGAGGGCGACCGGCCACACUGGGACUGAGACACGGCCCAGACUCCUACGGGAGGCAGCAGUGGGGAAUAUUGCGCAAUGGGCGGAAGCCUGACGCAGCGACGCCGCGU
rnacentral:rRNA from 1 species